rnacentral:rRNA from 1 species
UACAGAGGGGGCAAGCGUUAUUCGGAAUUAUUGGGCGUAAAGGGCGCGUAGGCGGCCUGGCAAGUGGAAGGUGAAAUCCCUCGGCUUAACCGAGGAACUGCCUUCCAAACUGCUUGGCUUGAGUCCGGGAGAGGUGAGUGGAAUUCCCAGUGUAGCGGUGAAAUGCGUAGAUAUUGGGAGGAACACCAGUGGCGAAGGCGGCUCACUGGACCGGAACUGACGCUGAUGCGCGAAAACGUGGGGAGCAAACGGG